rnacentral:misc_RNA from 1 species
UUUCUGGCUACAAGGGGUGAACCACGAAGUAAUCUCUGCUUCCCACUCCUCCCGCAUUCGGUUGUGGUUGUUAAUUGGUCCACAGGGUAUUCGCUUGAGCUCAUCGGUUGCGGUGCAUUAUAUACGGGGACGAGGACUCGCGUCCUCUAUCUGCCCGAACAAAAGCUUUCAUCGCUUAAGCUGCGAACGAACUGCGAUCCCCGUUUCGAGCCUCAGGC